rnacentral:rRNA from 1 species
UACAGAGGUCCCGAGCGUUGUUCGGAUUCAUUGGGCGUAAAGGGUGCGUAGGCGGCUUCCUAAGUUUGAUGUGAAAUCCCGGGGCUCAACCCCGGAACUGCCUUUGAUACUGGGUAUCUCGAGUCCGGAAGAGGUAAGUGGAAUUCCUAGUGUAGCGGUGAAAUGCGUAGAGAUUAGGAAGAACACCAGUGGCGAAGGCGACU